rnacentral:rRNA from 1 species
GGACGAACGCUGGCGGCGUGCCUAAUACAUGCAAGUUGAGCGCUGAAGGUUGGUACUUGUACCAACUGGAUGAGCAGCGAACGGGUGAGUAACGCGUGGGGAAUCUGCCUUUGGGGGGGGACCACCAUUUGGAACGGAUGCUUAUUCCGCCUUAAAACUUUAAAAACCAAUUUUUAGGUUUAAAGGUGCAAAUUCCUCACUCCAAGAUGGUCCCGCGUUGUAUUAGCUAGUUUGUGAGGUAAAGGCUCACCAAGGCGAUGAUACAUAGCCGACCUGAGAGGGUGAUCGGCCACAUUGGGACUGAGACACGGCCCAAACUCCUACGGGAGGCAGCAGUAGGGAAUCUUCGGCAAUGGACGAAAGUCUGACCGAGCAACGCCGCGUGAGUGAAGAAGGUUUUCGGAUCGUAAAACUCUGUUGGUAGAGAAGAACGUUGGUGAGAGUGGAAAGCUCAUCAAGUGACGGUAACUACCCAGAAAGGGACGGCUAACUACGUG